AGUAGAAUUUCUGGGUCAUAUGGUAAUCCCGUGUUUAACUUUUUGAAGAACUGCCAAACUGUUUUCUAAAGUGGUUUCACCAUUUUACAUUCCCACCGGCAAU
rnacentral:pre_miRNA from 1 species